rnacentral:misc_RNA from 1 species
GAUGUAGAACGCAGCGAAAUGCGAUACUUGGUGUGAAUUGCAGAAUCCCGUGAACCAUCGAGUCUUUGAACGCAAGUUGCGCCCGAAGCCAUCAGGUUGAGGGCACGUCUGCCUGGGCGUCACAUAUCGUUGCCCAAUGCCUAUUGCAGUGCAAUAGGAAUUUCUAGGGCGAAUGAUGGCUUCCCGUGAGCGUUGUUGCCUCGCGGUUGGUUGAAAAUCGAGUCCUUGGUAGGGUGUGCCAUGGUAGAUGGUGGUCGAGUUAGAACGAUACCGAUCAUGUGCAUGCUCCCCAAAAUAUGGCCUCUAUGACCCACACGCGUCUUUUGACGCUCAUGACGAGACCUCAGGUCAGGCGGGGCUACCCGCUGAAUUUAAGCAUAUCAAUAAGCGGAGGA